UACGGAGGGGGUUAGCGUUGUUCGGAAUUACUGGGCGUAAAGCGAACGUAGGCGGACUAUUAAGUCAGGGGUGAAAUCCCGGGGCUCAACCCCGGAACUGCCCUUGAUACUGGCAGUCUAGAGUUCGAGAGAGGUGAGCGGAAUUCCGAGUGUAGAGGUGAAAUUCGUAGAUAUUCGGAGGAACACCAGUGGCGAAGGCGGCUCACUGGCUCGAUACUGACGCUGAGGUGCGAAAGUGUGGGGAGCAAACAGG
rnacentral:rRNA from 1 species